CUCAGGACGAACGUGGCGGCGUGCUUAACACAUGCAAGUCGAGCGGUAAGGCCUUUCGGGGUACACGAGCGGCGAACGGGUGAGUAACACGUGGGUGAUCUUGCCCUGCACUUCGGGAUAAGCCUGGAAACUGGGUCUAAUACCGGAUAUGACCUCCUAUCGCAUGGUGGGUGGUGGAAAGAUUUAUCGGUGCAGGAUGGGCCCGCGGCCUAUCAGCUUGUUGGUGGGGUAAUGGCCUACCAAGGCGACGACGGGUAGCCGCCUGAGAGGGUGACCGGCCACACUGGGACUGAGACACGGUCCAGACUCCUACGGGAGGCAGCAGUGGGGAAUAUUGCACAAUGGGCGAAAGCCUGAUGCAGCGACGCCGCGUGAGGGAUGACGGCCUUCGGGUUGUAAACCUCUUUCAGCAGGGACGAAGCGCAAGUGACGGU
rnacentral:rRNA from 1 species